rnacentral:rRNA from 1 species
UAGGGAAUCUUCCGCAAUGGACGAAAGUCUGACGGAGCAAUGCCGCGUGAGUGACGAAGGUUUUCGGAUCGUAAAACUCUGUUGUAAGGGAAGAACAAGUACCAAGUAACUACUGGUACCUUGACGGUACCUUACCAGAAAGCCACGGCUAACUACGUGCCAGCAGCCGCGGUAAUACGUAGGUGGCAAGCGUUGUCCGGAAUUAUUGGGCGUAAAGCGCGCGCAGGCGGUCCCUUAAGUCUGAUGUGAAAGCCCACGGCUCAACCGUGGAGGGUCAUUGGAAACUGGGGGACUUGAGUGCAGAAGAGGAAAGUGGAAUUCCAUGUGUAGCGGUGAAAUGCGUAGAGAUGUGGAGGAACACCAGUGGCGAAGGCGACUUUCUGGUCUGUAACUGACGCUGAGGCGCGAAAGCGUGGGGAGCAAACAGG